AUGCGUUGAGGAAAUAAAGGUUCACUGCUCGAUCCCGUUGGAGGCUUUGCGUCGUAUGAAGCAGAUACCGCAAUGGCACUGCUUAAGAUACCGACGAUUCCCGCUUCACAGUCCUUGCAAUCGUUGGUGGUUGAUGCGAAGACAAUGAAAAUAAAAUUAAGCUCUCAAAAAUAUCAAGUCUUGACAAACA